CCUACGGGUGGCUGCAGUGGGGAAUAUUGCACAAUGGGCGCAAGCCUGAUGCAGCCAUGCCGCGUGUGUGAAGAAGGCCUUCGGGUUGUAAAGCACUUUCAGCGGGGAGGAAGGCGGUGAGGUUAAUAACCUCAUCGAUUGACGUUACCCGCAGAAGAAGCACCGGCUAACUCCGUGCCAGCAGCCGCGGUAAUACGGAGGGUGCAAGCGUUAAUCGGAAUUACUGGGCGUAAAGCGCACGCAGGCGGUCUGUCAAGUCGGAUGUGAAAUCCCCGGGCUCAACCUGGGAACUGCAUUCGAAACUGGCAGGCUAGAGUCUUGUAGAGGGGGGUAGAAUUCCAGGUGUAGCGGUGAAAUGCGUAGAGAUCUGGAGGAAUACCGGUGGCGAAGGCGGCCCCCUGGACAAAGACUGACGCUCAGGUGCGAAAGCGUGGGGAGCAAACAGGAUAGAUACCCGGGUAGUC
rnacentral:rRNA from 1 species